rnacentral:miRNA from 1 species
AUGCCCACAGUCACCUCUGCAGGACCUGCAGUGCCUGAGUUUCUCUAUGGUGCAGUUAGUUACUGUGCAAAGCUCUGCGGCUGUGCUUUAGGCUGUGUUUGUGC